rnacentral:rRNA from 1 species
UACAGAGGUCCCAAGCGUUGUUCGGAUUCAUUGGGCGUAAAGCGUGCGCAGGCGGUUGUGCAAGACCGAUGUGAAAUCCCCGGGCUUAACCUGGGAAUGGCAUUGGUGACUGCACGGCUAGAGUGUGUCAGAGGGGGGUAGAAUUCCACGUGUAGCAGUGAAAUGCGUAGAGAUGUGGAGGAAUACCGAUGGCGAAGGCAGCCCCCUGGGAUAACACUGACGCUCAUGCACGAAAGCGUGGGGAGCAAACAGG